UACGUAGGGGGCAAGCGUUGUCCGGAAUUAUUGGGCGUAAAGGGCGCGUAGGCGGCCCUGUGUGUCGGGUGUGAAAGCCCACCUCUUAAAGGUGGAAUUGCAUUCGAAACUACAGGGCUGGAGUGUCGGAGAGGAUGGCGGAAUUCCUGGUGUAGGAGGUGAAAUUCGUAGAUAGUCAGGAGGGACAGCCGGUGGCGGAAGGCGGCCAUCUGGACGA
rnacentral:rRNA from 1 species